rnacentral:rRNA from 1 species
AGCGAACGCUGGCGGUAUGCCUAACACAUGCAAGUCGAACGGCAGCGCAUUAAGAGCUUUCUCUUACGGGCGGCGAGUGGCGGACGGGGUAGGUAUACUUCGGUAUCUACUUUUUCAUGGGUGAUAACGUAGGUAAACUUACGCUAAUACCCCAUACUACCUACGGGUGUAAGCAAGGGUUCUUCGGACCUUGCGCGAUUGCAUGAGCCGACGUCGUGUUAGUUGGUUGGCGGGGUAAAGGACCACCAAGGCGACGAUCCGUAGCUGGUCUGAGAGGAUGAUCAGCCACACUGGAACUGAGACACGGUCCAGACUCCUACGGGAGGCAGCAGUGGGGAAUAUUGGACAAUGGGCGGAAGCCUGAUCCAGCCAUACCGCGUGAGUGAAGAAGGCCUUCGGGGUGUAAAGCCCUUUUGUUGGGAAAGAAAAGCAGCAGGUUAAUACCCAGCUGUUCUGACGGUACCCAAAGAAUAAGCACCGGCUAACUUCGUG